rnacentral:rRNA from 1 species
UGGGGAAUAUUGCACAAUGGGGGAAACCCUGAUGCAGCGACGCCGCGUGAACGAAGAAGGUAUUCGUAUCGUAAAGUUCUGUCCUAUGGGAAGAUAAUGACAGUACCAUAGAAGAAAGCUCCGGCUAAAUACGUGCCAGCAGCCGCGGUAAUACGUAUGGAGCGAGCGUUGUCCGGAAUUAUUGGGCGUAAAGGGUACGCAGGCGGUUUAAUAAGUCGAAUGUUAAAGAUCGGGGCUCAACCCCGCAAAGCAUUGGAAACUGAUAAACUUGAGUAGUGGAGAGGAAAGUGGAAUUCCUAGUGUAGUGGUGAAAUACGUAGAUAUUAGGAGGAAUACCAGUAGCGAAGGCGACUUUUUGGACACAAACUGACGCUGAGGUACGAAAGCGUGGGGAGCAAACAGG